GAGGCGAACCGGGGGAACUGAAACAUCUAAGUACCCCGAGGAAAAGAAAUCAACCGAGAUUCCGAAAGUAGCGGCGAGCGAAAUUGGACUAGCCCUUAAGCUUUACACGCGUUAGACAAACGGUCUGGAAAGUCCGACGAUACAGGGUGAUAGUCCCGUAGUUGACGACGUGUGUUCAGUGAAAUCGAGUAGGGCGGGACACGUGAUAUCCUGUCUGAAUAUGGGGGGACCAUCCUCCAAGGCUAAAUACUACUGACUGACCGAUAGUGAACCAGUACCGUGAGGGAAAGGCGAAAAGAACCCCUGUGAGGGGAGUGAAAUAGAACCUGAAACCGUGUACGUACAAGCAGUAGGAGCAGGCUUUGUCCUGUGACUGCGUACCUUUUGUAUAAUGGGUCAGCGACUUAUAUUCAGUGGCAAGGUUAACCAUCUAGGGGAGCCGUAGGGAAACCGAGUCUUAACUGGGCGUUCAGUCUCUGGAUAUAGACCCGAAACCAGGUGAUCUAGCCAUGGGCAGGUUGAAGGUUGAGUAACAUCAACUGGAGGACCGAACCGACUAAUGUUGAAAAAUUAGCGGAUGACUUGUGGCUAGGGGUGAAAGGCCAAUCAAACCUGGAGAUAGCUGGUUCUCCCCGAAAGCUAUUUAGGUAGCGCCUCGGACGAAUACUACUGGGGGUAGAGCACUGUUAAGGCUAGGGGGUCAUCCCGACUUACCAACCCUUUGCAAACUCCGAAUACCAGUAAGUACUAUCCGGGAGACACACGGCGGGUGCUAACGUCCG
rnacentral:rRNA from 1 species